UAUAGGUUACCUGUGUUUAUAGAGUUGACUGGAAAUUUGAAGGAUAUGACGUUAAAAAGAAAAGGUAAUAAUAAGAAGUUGUAAUAAUCGAAAACAACAAGGUAAGAAGAUGAAGGAAUAACAACCAUUGGGCCUAAGAGGUAUUUUGGAUAACAAAAGUGCUCCUUUCGUUUUAUUAUUAACAACCUUUCCUUUUCCUGUUGAUAGAAAAAUAUUAUCAUCACAAAUAUUUGAUUCGUUUCCCUGUUUUUUUGCCAAUGCAAAAAAAAGAAGAUGUCAAAUUUUCCUAUGGUUAUCAUAUUAUAUGGACAGUGAUUCAAUUGUGUUUAUAUCUUCCAAUCAUCAUCAUCAUCAACUAUGUAAAAUUGACACUAUCCUGACUCUCUCUCUCUCUCUCUCACUUUUGGUUUUGUAACUUUCUUUUUGGAUCCAUAAUGUUGAUACAUUUUAAUUGUUUUCUCUCUCACUCUCUUCAUAUACUCUGCUAACAAUCAUUAUUAUCGACUCGUUAAUUGUUUAUUAUUAAGAGUAUUAUCACUUGUAAUGAUAAUUUGCCUUUCUCUUUAUAAACACGCGUCUUAAUAACGAUUUAUUUUCACUAUGAGAAAAAGUCAACUAAAUCAGUUUACUUACUAAAAAUUGAACUCGCACUCUUUUGGUAAGUGUUUCAUACCAUUAGAAUAGUAAUGAAAAGAUUCAAUGGUGAGAGAAAAUGCUAAACAUUGUAUUCAUUUAUUAUUCAAUGUUUGCCAAUCUCACUCGUUCCUUUAACGAUAAUAUUAAUUAUAUUUUCGCAGUUUAAAUUGUUGUUGAAAAUGUAAUUCCAAAAGUUUGAACAAAUUUGGUGUAAAAAGAUCAUUAGAAAAAGGCGCGUACCCUAUUUGCCACGUGUUGCGACAAUCAGAUUAUGGAAAAAAAAAUUUAAAAACCACACUGGGAAACCAUUUCAUCAAUAAUGUUAUCAAAUUAAAUUUGAUUACCUUACCGUUGGAAAGUCAAUUUUUCACUUAUCACAAUCACACCUUAUGUUUACCAAAUUAAAUCGUAAAAUGGUUGUGAAUGUUAAUCAGUGGUGUUGAUUAUUAUUACGUAUCAUGAAUAUUAACGAUAUUUUCAUUAACAAUAAUCAUUGAAGGAAGAAAAAAAAGUGUCACAAUUAACAAUCAAUGAAAUUUGAAAGAUGAUGAUUAAUAUUAAUUGUUUGAUUUUCGAGUCUCAUUAAUUUGGAUUAUUGAUUAAUUAUCUUUGUUUGUUAUUGGUAAUAAUUUUGAUUAUCUGCUUAUCAUCAUUACUAUUAUCCAUAUUCAGUGGUAAUCAGUUGAUUGUUUGAUUGAAGAGUGGAUUUAAAUUAUCAUUGAUGGAUUAAUUUUUUGUUUUUCUUUCAACAAUUAACUUGUAAACAAAAAUUUUCUAAUGAUGAAUGAGACCAACACUUGAUUGACAAUCUGAUCUGAGUAUUUGAUAAAUCAAUUGUUAACUUGUGCCGAUAACAAUGAUUAAUCCAAAGAAAUUAAUCCGGAUUAACUAAACAGGUCAAUAUUUUUACGAUAAAUUUUCAAAUCUCUGGUUAAACAUUGAAUUAUUUUCUUGAGAGAGAAAAACAUUUCAAUGGAUUAAUUGAUUGUCAUUGGAAUCAAAGUGAUCAUUCAUCAUUUCUAACAAUUAAUAUCAACGCAAUCAACAUAAUCAUCCGAACGACGUUCAAACAAUAAUCAACUUAAUCUCUUCUUCUGAAUAUGUUCAAUGUAAAUUCAAUCAACUUAAAAACCAUUAAGAUAAUCAGAAAGAUUAACUGAUUAGUAUGAUUACUUUUCAGCAACUGAUCAAAUUUGUUGAGUUUUUUUUUAUAAUCAAUCAAUAAGUAAAACCCUUGCGGCUAUAAAAUAGUUUGCAUAAUAACUUAAUUGAUUUUCGAUGACGAAAUUCAAUCAAAAUGAUCAAACAAUUGGAUUACAAGUAAAAAAAGACAAUCAAAUGAUUUAAAUUGUGAAUCAACCAAUAGCCACGUGUUGAUAAUCAAAACUCAGGUAAAGAUAAUAAUCUUUAAUUGUAUAAGAAGUAAUUAAUUGUUGUCAAUCCAUCUCAGAAUUGGCAAUUAAUUAAUUUGAUGGAUUUGAUUUCCUUUUAGUUGUUUACAUUUAAACCAAUUGAAGCAUCAAUUACAAAGACAUUUUAAUCAUCACAAUUAAGCUAAAAAGUGAAUGAUAUCUUUUUCAUAGUCAAUUCUUUAACAAUCAAUCACUUAAUUGUUUACUUUUUUUUAACCAUUUUGUCUUAACAAUCAACAGAGGCGGGAGUGAGUGGGUGAUCAACCAACCAAAGGGCAAUUUAUAACUUAAUCACAAUGAUCAGAGAAAAGUAAUAAUCACAAUAAUGAUUAUGAUAAUUUAUCUUUACCAGCACCAAGUUAAUUGAAUAAGAUUUGAUUGUUAUCAAAAUAUAUUGAUUGGUCUCUUUCCCGAUAACAAUCAAGAAGAAAAAAAACUUGAAUCCUAAUCAUUGACAUAAUCAUCAUGGUUAACUAAACAUGAUCACAAUUAUUGGAAAUGAAAUUAAAAAGAUGCAACCAGCUGCCAAUUGUUCAAUAAUCAUAAUCAGUAAAUCAUCAAAUCAUCAUCAUCAUCAUCAUCAUUGUAAUCAACAAAUUACCAUAAAAACAUCAAUAUGAUUGUGAAAGUAAAAGUGAGAGGAAAAUGAAGAGACAAAAUUUUGUUAAUUAUCUUGAAUUACAAUUAAAUAUAGAAAAAGAAAUUAACUUUUACGUUUGUUAUUGUGUUGAUAACAAUA